CUCGGAGUGAACUUAAGUGGAUUAGUGGCGGACGGGUGAGUAACGCGUGAGUAACCUGCCUUAGAGAAGGGGAUAGCCUUUGGAAACGAAGAAUAAUACCCUAUGACAUGAUAGCCUCGCAUGAGAUUAUCAUCAAAGAUUUAUCGCUCUAAGAUGGACUUGCGUCUGAUUAGUUAGUUGGUGGGGUAACGGCCCACCAAGACAGCGAUCAGUAGCCGGCUUGAGAGAGUGUACGGCCACAUUGGGACUGAGACACGGCCCAGACUCCUACGGGAGGCAGCAGUGGGGAAUUUUGCACAAUGGGGGAAACCCUGAUGCAGCGACGCCGCGUGAUUUAGAAGGCCUUCGGGUUGUAAAAAUCUUUUCUAUGGGAAGAACAUGACAGUACCAUAGGAAUAAGGACCGGCUAAUUACGUGCCAGCAGCCGCGGUAAUACGUAAGGUCCGAGCGUUGUCCGGAAUCAUUGGGCGUAAAGGGUACGUAGGCGGGUAAGCAAGUUAGAAGUGAAAUCCUAUAGCUCAACUAUAGUAAGCUUUUAAAACUGCUCAUCUUGAGGUAUGGAAGGGAAAGUGGAAUUCCUAGUGUAGCGGUGAAAUGCGCAGAUAUUAGGAGGAAUACCGGUGGCGAAGGCGACUUUCUGGCCAUAACCUGACGCUGAGGUACGGAAGCGUGGGUAGCAAACAGGAUUAGAUACCCUGGUAGUCCACGCCGUAAACGAUGAGUGUUAGGUGUCUGGAGUAAAUCUGGGUGCCGCAGCUAACGCAUUAACACUCCGCCUGGGGAGUACGCGCGCAAG
rnacentral:rRNA from 1 species